rnacentral:tRNA from 1 species
GGAAGAGUGGCAGAGUGGCCGAUUGCACCUGUCUUGAAAACAGGAGGCCUGCAAGGGUCCGUGGGUUCGAAUCCUACCUCUUCCGCCA